rnacentral:antisense_RNA from 1 species
CUCAAAUCCCUACUCUCUUCUUUCACUCUCUUCCUGAUCCUCACCUGGUCCCACUGAUGGUUCUGGUUUGACAGCACCAGGAAUCCUCCAUCAUCAAUGAGGACACACAGCUGGGUGAUGCCUACGUGUUGAGAUCCUGGUCCCUCCACACACGCUCUACCAGCUGCUGCGUGAUGCCCGUGUCCAAGAUCAGGUUGUGCAGAAGGAAGUUGUUGCCUGGAACAGGAGGGGAGGGGUGGGGGUGGGGGCAUCUUCUUGCAGCUUCUUGCCCACCCUCACCCCCACCCUCAAGGCUCCACCAGGAGCCUCCUCCAUGACCUGGCCCUGGCCCAGGCCCAGCCCUUAGCUUGUGCCUGCUUAUUUCCACACCUGCCCGGCCUCUGGGUUCCUCUGGGCUGGCCCCAUGCUGCCUGGGCACUGCCCAGAGCCAGCUGCCCUGCCAGGCACUCACACUGCUUGGAGUCUGGAGUCACUUUCUCCAUGAGCUCAAUAAAGUUUUUCAGGAACUCGG